AUCCUUAUAUAGUUCCUCAGUAUGGUGAUUGGACAGUUACGCUGUUGUGUGAUAUCUGCCUCCCUCAAAUCUUGUUACCUUGGCACAUUACCCCUCUGACA
ensembl:snoRNA